GACGAACGCUGGCGGCGUGCUUAACACAUGCAAGUCGAACGAAGAGCGAUGGAAGCUUGCUUCUAUCAAUCUUAGUGGCGCACGGGUGAGUAACGCGUAAUCAACCUGCCCUUCAGAGGGGGACCACAGUUGGAAACGACUGCUAAUACCGCAUACGAUCUAACCUCGGCAUCGAGGAUAGAUGAAAGGUGGCCUCGACAUGUAAGCUAUCACUGAAGGAGGGGAUUGCGUCUGAUUAGCUAGUUGGAGGGGUAAGGGCCCACCAAGGCGAAGGACAGUAGCCGGACUGGAAGGAUGAACGGCCACAAUGGGACUGAGACACGGCUCAGGCUCCUUAGGGGAGGAGCAAGUGGGAAACUUCCGCAAUGGACGGAAGUCUGACGGAGCAACGCCGCGGGGGGGAUGGCGGCCUUCGGGUUGGAAAACUCUGUUUAUCGGGAAGGAAGACCUUCUUGCGAAUAGUUAGAAGGAUUGACGGUACCGGAAUAGAAAGCCACGGCUAACUACGUG
rnacentral:rRNA from 1 species